rnacentral:miRNA from 1 species
GCUCUGGGAGGGUCUGGGUUUGACCGGAAGGUCCUGAGCCUGCCUCCUGCUGGCUUCCAG